GUUGCAGGCAAAGUACGGCAUGGGCUUCGGAAGGCAUACACUCAUGAGGGCAUGCAUCCAUUACAGCACAUGUGAAACGUGUCAAGGGCGAAUUCAAUAUACUGAUUGGCAUGGUGGGUUCGUCCCUGCCCAUGAUUGGUUUGGAGCAUCACUUUUCUACGUGAAAAUAAGCUGCCACACCCUCUGGCCCUCCCCCAGCUCCUGUUUCUCAGCUGUGGUCCUCCACUGGAAUGAGUUUCACAAUUUCCCUGAAUAAAAAGUCUUAGCCUAUUCCUGGAUCAACGAAUGCCUCUAAAAAAGUUUCAUUUAGGAUUGAGCUUUCAGGUUGUCCCAUAGGAGAGCCUUGUUGUGACAUUUAAAGAGCCCAUAUACAACAUUUUUUUGCAUUUUAUCCCCCCCCCCCCAAGCUGGGGUCCACUUAUAAUAUUUGUGUAGGUUCAGGCAGCAAACAGUAAUUAUAGUCAUAAUUCAUUUUACAUGACCAUUUUCAAUUUCAUCCCUUAGAAAUAAACAGGCCAUUUUUGUUACUGUCCCUCUAAGAUUAAGGCACAUAAAUGAACUCUGCUCUGCCUUGCAAUCCUGUAUUUGUGCCUCAUUCAAAACGCAACCCAGAUGUGAAUGGGUGGGGCUUAAAUGUAAAUUAGACGGUUCUUGUGAUGUCACAGAAACUGUGUAUUGGCUACUUAAUUUCCAUAGAUGGACUGGUGUGUAAUCAGUAUAUUGUUAAACUAUGACCAUGUUUACAUACACCAAAUAAUUUUAUUUAAAAAUUGCAAGAGAUUUUUUUUGCAUAAUAUUGGCUCUUGAGGAAUAACUUUGCAGACUUACCUUUUUCAAAGGUGUAAUGACAAGAUGCAGUUGAGGGGCAAGUACAUUAAAACAUGCAGGGCUCAAACCUAAUGGCCUUUUUGGUGUCACACACAGAAAUAAUCUGCAAGCUUUUGUUAUGAAUGUGAGACAUUUCACAGUAUAACCACAGGCCAUAACUAAAUUCUCUUUAUAUGUCAUCAUAUUGUAUACUUGACCCUAAAACCUAAAUCUUAGGCUUAUGAUUCAUUAACUAUUAUAAAUUAUUCGGCAACUUCUGUGGAACCAAUAUGUACAUAAUAAUACAUAACAAUGAGUG
ensembl:lncRNA